rnacentral:rRNA from 1 species
GACGGUACUUGAGGAAUAAGCCACGGCUAAUUCCGUGCCAGCAGCCGCGGUAAUACGGGAGUGGCAAGCGUUAUCCGGAAUUAUUGGGCGUAAAGCGUCCGCAGGCGGCCCUGUAAGUCUGUCGUUAAAGCGUGGAGCUUAACUCCAUUUAAGCGAUGGAAACUACAGGGCUUGAGUGUGGUAGGGGCAGAGGGAAUUCCCGGUGUAGCGGUGAAAUGCGUAAAUAUCGGGAAGAACACCAGUGGCGAAGGCGCUCUGCUGGGCCAUAACUGACGCUCAUGGACGAAAGCCAGGGGAGCGAAAGGGAUUAGAUACCCCUGUAGUCCUGGCCGUAAACGAUGAACACUAGGUGUCGGGGGAAUCGACCCCCUCGGGUGUCGUAGCCAACGCGUUAAGUGUUCCGCCUGGGGAGUACGCACGCAAGUGUGAAACUCAAAGGAAUUGACGGGGGCCCGCACAAGCGGUGGAGUAUGUGGUUUAAUUCGAUGCAACGCGAAGAACCUUACCAGGGUUUGACAUCCUGCGAACCCCCUGGAAACGGGGGGGGUGCCUUCGGGAACGCAGUGACAGGUGGUGCAUGGCUGUCGUCAGCUCGUGUCGUGAGAUGUUGGGUUAAGUCCCGCAACGAGCGCAACCCACGGUCGUUAGUUGCCAGCAUUCAGUUGGGCACUCUAGCGAGACCGCCGGUGAUAAACCGGAGGAAGGUGUGGAUGACGUCAAGUCAUCAUGCCCCUUACAUCCUGGGCUACACACGUACUACAAUGCUACGGACAAAGGGCCGCAAGCUCGCGAGAGUUAGCAAAUCCCAUAAACCGUGGGCUCAGUUCAGAUCGUAGGCUGCAACUCGCCUACGUGAAAGGAGGAUCCGCUAGUAAUCGCAGGUCAGCAUAUUGCGGUGAAUACGUUCCCGGGCCUUGUACACACCGCCCGUCACGCCAUGGAAGUUGGCCACGCCCGAAGUCGUUACUCCAACCCUUGUGAAGGAGGACGC